rnacentral:rRNA from 2 species
CCUAUACAUGCAAGUCGAACGAACUCUGGUAUUGAUUGGUGCUUGCAUCAUGAUUUACAUUUGAGUGAGUGGCGAACUGGUGAGUAACACGUGGGAAACCUGCCCAGAAGCGGGGGAUAACACCUGGAAACAGAUGCUAAUACCGCAUAACAACUUGGACCGCAUGGUCCGAGUUUGAAAGAUGGCUUCGGCUAUCACUUUUGGAUGGUCCCGCGGCGUAUUAGCUAGAUGGUGGGGUAACGGCUCACCAUGGCAAUGAUACGUAGCCGACCUGAGAGGGUAAUCGGCCACAUUGGGACUGAGACACGGCCCAAACUCCUACGGGAGGCAGCAGUAGGGAAUCUUCCACAAUGGACGAAAGUCUGAUGGAGCAACGCCGCGUGAGUGAAGAAGGGUUUCGGCUCGUAAAACUCUGUUGUUAAAGAAGAACAUAUCUGAGAGUAACUGUUCAGGUAUUGACGGUAUUUAACCAGAAAGCCACGGCUAACUACGUGCCAGCAGCCGCGGUAAUACGUAGGUGGCAAGCGUUGUCCGGAUUUAUUGGGCGUAAAGCGAGCGCAGGCGGUUUUUUAAGUCUGAUGUGAAAGCCUUCGGCUCAACCGAAGAAGUGCAUCGGAAACUGGGAAACUUGAGUGCAGAAGAGGACAGUGGAACUCCAUGUGUAGCGGUGAAAUGCGUAGAUAUAUGGAAGAACACCAGUGGCGAAGGCGGCUGUCUGGUCUGUAACUGACGCUGAGGCUCGAAAGUAUGGGUAGCAAACAGGAUUAGAUACCCUGGUAGUCCAUACCGUAAACGAUGAAUGCUAAGUGUUGGAGGGUUUCCGCCCUUCAGUGCUGCAGCUAACGCAUUA